GACUAGGCAAAGAACCAGGGGGAAGAAGCGAGCAUCACGUGAUCUCGAGCCGAGCUACCUGACUGCCCUAAGGGGCUACCCGGCUUGGCCCUGCCCCCCUGCCCUGCCCUGCUCCGCAGGUCACCCAGAGCCUUCCGUGUCCCUGUUGGAAACCCCUGAAGGACUUUGAGAAUAUGGCAGACAUGCUAGGAAGCCUGGAAUACGGAAACCAGGUCCACAGGCUCCUGUCUGAGGCAGCACACGAUGGAACCAGCACCCAGGGGCAGGAUUCCAGCCCCUUCCACGGCUCUGC